rnacentral:rRNA from 1 species
AUUGAACGCUGGCGGCAUGCCUUACACAUGCAAGUCGAACGGCAGCACGGGAGCAAUCCUGGUGGCGAGUGGCGAACGGGUGAGUAAUAUAUCGGAACGUGCCCAGUCGUGGGGGAUAACGCAGCGAAAGCUGUGCUAAUACCGCAUACGAUCUCUGGAUGAAAGCGGGGGACCGUAAGGCCUCGCGCGAUUGGAGCGGCCAAUAUCAGAUUAGCCAGUUGGUGGGGUAAAGGCCCACCAAGGCGACGAUCUGUAGCUGGUCUGAGAGGACGACCACCCACACUGGAACUGAGACACGGUCCAGACUCCUACGGGAGGCAGCGGUGGGGAAUUUUGGACAAUGGGCGCAAGCCUGAUCCAGCAAUGCCGCGUGCAGGAUGAAGGCCUUCGGGUUGUAAACUGCUUUUGUACGGAACGAAACGGCGAGCUCUAAUAAAGUUUGCUAAUGACGGUACCGUAAGAAUAAGCACCGGCUAACUACGUGCCAGCCGCCGCUGUAA